rnacentral:lncRNA from 1 species
GGAUGUUCAACAAAAGAGAUGGCCAGUACACUUCAAAAGCUUUAAUGUUAUGGGAGAGAAAGGCUGAGAAUGAUCACAUCAGAGGAGACUAAGGAGAUACAAUGGCUGAAUGCAGUGUGGGCUCCUGGAUGGAAUCCUGCAUCAGAAAAGGACACAAGUGUGAAAAUUGAUGAAAUUCAAGUAAGAUCUAUUCAGGAAAGGUGAACUCACAGGAAAAGGAGACUAAAGUUCUGAUAGAGGAACUUUUACCAUAGGCUACCAGCCAUUCUUUCCAGGGAUGAUGUGUGCAAGACUCAUCUGCAUAACAAGACAGCCUUUGCUCACCCAUGCCUUUCCUCCUGGCGGCCCCCGUGACGUGUCACCACCUCCCACCUGGAGCUCCAGGCAUCUAGUCCUCUCUGUAGGGUAUAAAAACUGCAGUCAUCUGGCCCUUCUUUGAGUCUCAUAUUUGUGUGGCUCCCUGUGCAUGUGCACAGAAUAAAUGUGUGUGCCUUUGUCCUGUUAGCCCUCUAUUGAGAGUUCGUUUUGUAGACUCAAAUGAGCAAACCUUCAAAAAUGGGGAAAGGAAAUUCCCUUUGCUCCUACACCCUUCUCUUGGUUUCAAGAGAGCCAUGAAUAGCUUCACCAGGGAACUGUCAGUUCUCUUAGGAAACCACCCAGAUUCCAGCUACAACCUUGUAGGAUCAGAGUAAACCAGCCUUCAGAAGAAUGCAUGCCUCGGCCGGGCGCGGUGGCUCAUGUCUGCAAUCCUAGCACUUUAGGAGGCCGAGGAGGCGGAUCACCUGAGGUCAGGAGAUCAAGACCAGCCUGGCCAACAUGGCAAAACCCUGUCUCUACUAAAAAUACAAAAAAUUUAGCCAAUACAAAAAAAAUUAGCCGAG